rnacentral:rRNA from 1 species
UGGGGAAUUUUGGACAAUGGGGGAAACCCUGAUCCAGCCAUCCCGCGUGUGCGAUGAAGGCCUUCGGGUUGUAGAGCACUUUUGGCAGGAAAGAAACGUCGCGGGUUAAUACCCCGCGAAACUGACGGUACCUGCAGAAUAAGCACCGGCUAACUACGUGCCAGCAGCCGCGGUAAUACGUAGGGUGCAAGCGUUAAUCGGAAUUACUGGGCGUAAAGCGUGCGCAGGCGGUUCGGAAAGAAAGAUGUGAAAUCCCAGAGCUUAACUUUGGAACUGCAUUUUUAACUACCGGGCUGGAGUGUGUCAGAGGGAGGUGGAAUUCCGCGUGUAGCAGUGAAAUGCGUAGAUAUGCGGAGGAACACCGAUGGCGAAGGCAGCCUCCUGGGAUAACACUGACGCUCACGCACGAAAGCGUGGGGAGCAAACAGGAUUAGAUACCCUGGUAGUCCACGCCCUAAACGAUGUCAACUAGCUGUUGGGGCCUUCGGGCCUUGGUAGCGCAGCUAACGCGUGAAGUUGACCGCCUGGGGAGUACGGUCGCAAG